AGGGGAUUAGCUCAGUUGGUAGAGCACCGGUCUCCAAAACCGGGUGUCGUGAGUUCGAGCCUCGCAUCCCCUG
rnacentral:tRNA from 1 species